AUUGAACGCUGGCGGCAGGCCUAACACAUGCAAGUCGAGCGGAUGAAGGGAGCUUGCUCCUGGAUUCAGCGGCGGACGGGUGAGUAAUGCCUAGGAAUCUGCCUGGUAGUGGGGGAUAACGUCCGGAAACGGGCGCUAAUACCGCAUACGUCCUGAGGGAGAAAGUGGGGGAUCUUCGGACCUCACGCUAUCAGAUGAGCCUAGGUCGGAUUAGCUAGUUGGUGGGGUAAAGGCCUACCAAGGCGACGAUCCGUAACUGGUCUGAGAGGAUGAUCAGUCACACUGGAACUGAGACACGGUCCAGACUCCUACGGGAGGCAGCAGUGGGGAAUAUUGGACAAUGGGCGAAAGCCUGGUCCAGCCAUGCCGCGUGUGUGAAGAAGGUCUUCGGAUUGUAAAGCACUUUAAGUUGGGAGGAAGGGCAGUAAGUUAAUAACUUGCUGUUUUGACGUUACCAACAGAAUAAGCACCGGCUAACUUCGUG
rnacentral:rRNA from 1 species